AGCUUUUUUGACACGCCUAAUAAUAACUCAUAGUUUCUUCUUCUCUUUUCCAGCUUGACCGUAACCGCAUCGCCACGUGCAAUGCAUUCAUUUAUUGAGCAAAGCGGAAUAUUCCAUACUUGGAUAAGCUCCUUUAGUUUCCGGCUACCAAAAUGGACUAUUUCCAACAAGUACAGCUUAAGUAGACUUGUCAAACAGGUGGAUUUUGUCAGGUUUGGCUAGGUAAAAAAUUAGACUGAUUUAAAUUGAUCGGUUUAAUCCAUAUUGACCUAUUUUUAUGUGAUAUAAUUUUAGUAACCCAUAGUUGAUCAGAACCGAAUCCAUACCCGAGCUCUAAAUUCUUAGCAAUUUUAUCUUUCCAA